rnacentral:rRNA from 1 species
UAGGUGGCGAGCGUUGUCCGGAAUAACUGGGCGUAAAGGGAGCGUAGGUGGUAAUUUAAGUUAAAUGUGAAAGCCCACGGCUUAACCUUGGAAUUGCAUUUAAUACUGGAUUACUAGAGUGCAGGAGGGGUAAGCGGAAUUCCUAGUGUAGCGGUGGAAUGCGUAGAUAUUAGGAGGAACACCAGAGGCGAAGGCGGCUUACUGGACUGUAACUGACACUGAGGCUCGAAAGCGUGGGGAGCAAA